UACAGAGGCCUCAAGCGUUGUUCGGAUUUAUUGGGCGUAAAAGGUGCGUAGGCGGUACCGAAAGUUAGGUGUGAAAUUUCGAGGCUCAACCUCGAAAUUGCACCUAAUACUCCGGUGCUUGAGUCUCAUAGAGGAAUCUGGAAUUCACGGUGUAGCAGUGAAACGCGUAGAUAUCGUGAAGAAGGCCUGUGGCGAAAGCAAGAUUCUGGGUGACGACUGACGCUGAGGCACGAAAGCCAGGGGAGCAAACGGG
rnacentral:rRNA from 1 species